rnacentral:rRNA from 1 species
AUUGAACGCUGGCGGCAUGCCUUACACAUGCAAGUCGAACGGUAACGCGGGGCAACCUGGCGACGAGUGGCGAACGGGUGAGUAAUGCAUCGGAACGUGCCCAGUAGUGGGGGAUAGCCCGGCGAAAGCCGGAUUAAUACCGCAUACGACCUACGGGUGAAAGGGGGGGAUCGCAAGACCUCUCGCUAUUGGAGCGGCCGAUGUCAGAUUAGGUAGUUGGUGGGGUAAAGGCCUACCAAGCCGACGAUCUGUAGCUGGUUUGAGAGGACGACCAGCCACACUGGGACUGAGACACGGCCCAGACUCCUACGGGAGGCAGCAGUGGGGAAUUUUGGACAAUGGGCGCAAGCCUGAUCCAGCCAUGCCGCGUGCGGGAAGAAGGCCUUCGGGUUGUAAACCGCUUUUGUCAGGGAAGAAAUCUUUUGAGUUAAUACCUCGGAAGGAUGACGGUACCUGAAGAAUAAGCACCGGCUAACUGCGUGCCAGCCGCCGCGGUAAGAC